rnacentral:rRNA from 1 species
ACACGGGGGGCGCAAGCGUUAUUCGGAAUUAUUGGGCGUAAAGGGCGCGUAGGCGGUCUUGUCGGUCAGAUGUGAAAGCCCAGGGCUCAACCCUGGACGUGCAUUUGAAACAGCAAGACUUGAGUACGGGAGAGGAAAGCGGAAUUCCUGGUGUAGAGGUGAAAUUCGUAGAUAUCAGGAGGAACACCGAUGGCGAAGGCAGCUUUCUGGACCGAUACUGACGCUGAGGCGCGAAGGCGUGGGGAGCAAACAGGAUUAGAUACCCCGGUAGUCC